CUCGCGUAAAUGUAUGCGCCAGAGCGAGAGUGUGUGUGCCAAUCGAAACAGCAGCAGCA
rnacentral:sRNA from 1 species